rnacentral:rRNA from 1 species
UACAGAGGUCUCAAGCGUUGUCCGGAAUUAUUGGGCGUAAAGAGCGUGUAGGCGGCUUUACAGGUCCGUUGUGAAAACUCGAGGCUCAACCUCGAGACGCCGGUGGAAACCGUAAAGCUAGAGUCCGGAAGAGGAGAGUGGAAUUCCUGGUGUAGCGGUGAAAUGCGCAGAUAUCAGGAAGAACACCCGUGGCGAAGGCGGCUCUCUGGGACGGUACUGACGCUGAGACGCGAAAGCGUGGGGAGCGAACAGG